AACAGAGGUUUGAUUCUCGCUCAGAUUGAACGCUGGCGGGAUGCUUUGCACAUGCAAGUCGAACGACAGCACGGACUUCGGUCUGGUGGCGAGUGGCGAACGGGUGAGUAAUAUCGGAACGGUGCCUAGUAGCGGGGGAUAACUACGCGAAAGCGUAGCUAAUACCACAUACGCCCUUCGAGAAAGCAGGGGGACCUUCGGACUCACGCACUAUUAGAAACGUGACUAUCCGGAUUAGCUAGUUGGUGGGGUAACGGCUCGCAAGGCGACGAUCCGUAGCCUGGUUUGAAGGACGACCAGCCACACUGGGACGUUACGGCCCAGACUCCUACGGAGGCAGCGAUUGAAAUUUUGGACAAUGGGGAAAUCACAGUCCAGCCAUCCCGCGACUGCGAUGAAGACGCUACGGGUGUAAAGCACUUUUGGCGGGAAAGAAACGGCACGGGAUAAUACCCGCAGCGAUGAACCACACCUGCAGAAUAAGCACCGGCUAACUACGUGCCAGCAGCCGCGGUAAUACAUGCAGAGGUGCAAGCGUUAAUCGGAAUUACUGGGCGUAAAGCGUGCGCAGGCGGUUCGGAAGAAAGAUCUUAAAUCCCAGAGCUUAACUUUGGAACUGCAUUUUAACUACCCUGAGCUAGAGUGUGUCCUGGGGAGGUGAAUUCCGCGUGUAGCAGUGAAAUGCGUAGAUAUGCGGAGGAACACCGAUGGCGAAGGCAACUCCACUGGGAUAACGGCGCUCCUGCACGAAAAGCGUGGGGGAGCAAACGGGAUUAGACUCCCUGGUAGUCCACGCCUAAACGAUGUCAACUAGCUGUUGGGGCCUUCGGAGCAUGACGGCGCAGCUAACGCGUGAAGUUGACCGCCUGGGAAGUACGGUCGCAAAGAUUAAAACUCAAAGAUUGACGGGGACCCGCACAAGCGGUGGAUGAUGUGGAUUAAUUCGAUACAGCACCGAAAAGCACUACACCUUGUCUGGGAUCGAAGAGAUUUGGGAGUGCUAAAGAGAACCGGAACACAGGUGCUGCAUGGCUGUCGUCGGCUCGUGUGUGGAUGUUUGGGGAUUCAGUCCGCAACAGGCGCAGCCCUUGUCAUUAGUUGCUACGAAGGGCACUCAAUGGACUGCCGGUGACAAACCGGAGAAGGUGAGGAUGGCAAUCAAGUCCUCAUGGCCCUUAUGGGUAGGGCUUCCGUCAUCUGAUGGUCGGGACAGAGGGUCGCCCCAGCCCGCGAAGUAAGACCGAUCGUAGUCGGAUCACCCAGUCUGCGACUCGACUGCGUGAAGUCGAAUCGCUAGUAAUCGCGGAUCAGCAUGUCGCUGGUGAGCCACGUUCCCGGGUCUUGUACACACCGCCCGUCACACCAUGGGAGUGGGUUUUACCAGAAGUAGACAGCCUAACCGUAUUAAAGGAGGGCGAUUACCACGGUGGAUUUAUGACGGUGAAGUCAUCAGCAAGGUAG
rnacentral:rRNA from 1 species